rnacentral:rRNA from 1 species
GACGAACGCUGGCGGCGUGCUUAACACAUGCAAGUCGAACGAAGAGCGAUGGAAGCUUGCUUCUAUCAAUCUUAGUGGCGAACGGGUGAGUAACGCGUAAUCAACCUGCUCUUCAGAGGGGGACAACAGUUGGAAACGACUGCUAAUACCGCAUACGAUCUGACCUCGGCAUCGAGGAUAGAUGAAAGGUGGCCUCUAUUUAUAAGCUAUCACUGAAGGAGGGGAUUGCGUCUGAUUAGCUAGUUGGAGGGGUAACGGCCCACCAAGGCGAUGAUCAGUAGCCGGUCUGAGAGGAUGAACGGCCACAUUGGGACUGAGACACGGCCCAGACUCCUACGGGAGGCAGCAGUGGGGAAUCUUCCGCAAUGGACGAAAGUCUGACGGAGCAACGCCGCGUGAGUGAUGACGGCCUUCGGGUUGUAAAGCUCUGUUAAUCGGGACGAAAGGCCUUCUUGCGAAUAGUUAGAAGGAUUGACGGUACCGGAAUAGAAAGCCACGGCUAACUACGUG